rnacentral:tRNA from 1 species
GGCCCUAUGGUGUAGUUGGUUAACAUAUUUCCCUGUCACGGAAAAGAUCACCGGUUCGAGUCCGGUUGGGGUCGCCA